UGAGGAAUAUUGGACAAUGGGUGAAAGCCUGAUCCAGCCAUCCCGCGUGAAGGAUGACGGUCCUAUGGAUUGUAAACUUCUUUUGUAUAGGAAUAAACCUUUCCUCGUGAGGAAAGCUGAAGGUACUAUACGAAUAAGCACCGGCUAACUCCGUGCCAGCAGCCGCGGUAAUACGGAGGGUGCAAGCGUUAUCCGGAUUUAUUGGGUUUAAAGGGUCCGUAGGCGGACCGAUAAGUCAGUGGUGAAAUCUCAUAGCUUAACUAUGAAACUGCCAUUGAUACUGUCGGUCUUGAGUAAAUUUGAAGUGGCUGGAAUAAGUAGUGUAGCGGUGAAAUGCAUAGAUAUUACUUAGAACACCAAUUGCGAAGGCAGGUCACUAAGAUUUAACUGACGCUGAUGGACGAAAGCGUGGGGAGCGAACA
rnacentral:rRNA from 1 species